rnacentral:rRNA from 1 species
GACGAACGCUGGCGGCGUGCCUAACACAUGCAAGUCGAACGGGGGUAGCAAUACCUCAGUGGCGAACGGGUGCGUAACACGUGAAGAAUUUGUCCAACGGCGGGGGAUAGCCGGCCCAACGGCCGGGUAAUACCGCGUACGACCUUUGGGGGGCAUCCCCUGGAGGUGAAAGCCGCAAGGCGCCGAUGGAGAACUUCGCGGCCUAUCAGCUAGUUGGUGAGGUCAUGGCUCACCAAGGCGACGACGGGAGCUGGUCCGAGAGGAUGACCAGCCACAUUGGGACUGAGACACGGCCCAGACUCCUACGGGAGGCAGCAGUGGGGAAUAUUGCGCAAUGGGCGAAAGCCUGACGCAGCGACGCCGCGUGUGGGAUGACGGCC